UACGGGGGGGGGCAAGCGUUGUUCGGAAUUACUGGGCGUAAAGGGCUCGUAGGCGGCCAACUAAGUCAGACGUGAAAUCCCUCGGCUUAACCGGGGAACUGCAUCUGAUACUGGAUGGCUUGAGUUCGGGAGAGGGAUGCGGAAUUCCAGGUGUAGCGGUGAAAUGCGUAGAUAUCUGGAGGAAUACCGGUGGCGAAGGCGGCAUCCUGGACCAUUACUGACGCUGAGGCGCGAAAGCUAGGGGAGCAAACGGGG
rnacentral:rRNA from 1 species